rnacentral:rRNA from 1 species
GACGGAGGGUGCUAGCGUUGUUCGGAAUUACUGGGCGUAAAGGGCGCGUAGGCGGCCGUUUGCGUCGGAUGUGAAAGCCCGGGGCUCAACCCCGGAACGGCAUCCGAUACGGGACGGCUGGAGACCGGGAGAGGAGGGUGGAAUAGCCAGUGUAGAGGUGAAAUUCGUAGAUAUUGGCUGGAACACCGGUGGCGAAAGCGGCUCUCUGGCACGGUUCUGACGCUGAGGCGCGAAAGCGUGGGGAGCAAACAGG